AUGGAGAGAAAGGAACCUCAUUUCCUUCCUUCCCCUCGAAGGCAGCCCAGCUCUUCCUGUUCGGCUCCUCUCACACGCAUCCUUUCCUUCCUCUCUCGUCCCCUCCCUGGUGCUCCGCCGCCGCCUUCUUUCUCCACCAAAUCUACCCCGUCCCAUCAUCCUCAUCCACGGCCAUCGAGUGAAGGAGCCUGAGCAGGUGAGGGGGUGGCUCUGGGAGUCGGCGGUCUCUCCAGAGCGGUCGAGAGGCGUUGGGUCAAAGGCGUCGUGCCUCGAUGGCCGGGAUCGGGCAAGUCAGAUGGGAAGCAGCGAUGCCGGAAAUUGUUCGCUGCGCCUCCACCUUGUCCCCAGCCCUUCUACGAGCACUUUCUCUUGUCCACGGGAGCCCCCUUUCCACCGAGCUCCAGAUCCAUGACACUAGCAGCGAGGUGAGCAGCGGCAAAGGCUACCACCUAGCAACUCCUCUUUCCUCGUCUUUCAUCCUCUCCAACCCGUCUGGAGGAUACAGUUGAUGAUGUAGUUGAAGAUGAAUGGGUUCUUACUAAGAUACAUCUGUAUAUGUAUGUGGUUUCUUUGCUUCGGUUGAAGAUAUAUGUGUGGCUUAAAGAUAUAUCUGAAGUUAAAUUUCCAAGACAUACCAUCCGUCAGUGAUUAUGUAUUAAUGAUUGUUGGGAACUCCUAUCUUACUGGGAUGUGAAAUACAAUGAUGUCAGUAUGUAUAAGCUUUGUCAAUUCCACUUUAUCUCGAGGAACCGCGAGAAAUGUAGUGUACAAAUGAGUUCAUGGCUUUGCAAGGCAUAUAAAUUUUAGGUGUCCAAUCUUUUCACUUAGUGUAUGUUGUUCCCGUAUGUAGACUUCCUUUUUGAUGAUAUUUCAAAAAUAUGUUGAACAUGGUUGUAAGUGAACAAAUUCUUAUGGAAUAUGAAUAUAAAGUUUUGCCUGCUC